ensembl:snRNA Gm26279 predicted gene, 26279
CAGCUGCUUCCUCAGCCAGGAUACUAAAAAUGGAAUGAUACAGAGAUUAGCAUGGUCCUAUGCAAAGAUGGCACAGGAAUUUGUGAAGUGCUCUGUGUAAAA